UACGGGGGGGGGCAAGCGUUGUUCGGAAUUACUGGGCGUAAAGGGCGCGUAGGCGGUUCGCUAAGUUGAAUGUGAAAACUCUGGGCUUAACCCAGAGCCUGCAUCCAAAACUGGCGAACUGGAGUACUGGAGGGGAAAGCGGAAUUCCUGGUGUAGCGGUGAAAUGCGUAGAUAUCAGGGAGGAACACCGGUGGCGAAGGCGGCUUUCUGGACAGUAACUGA
rnacentral:rRNA from 1 species